rnacentral:lncRNA from 1 species
GAAAAUUUUGCUUUGCCAUGGUAUUUUGACCCCCCUGCGGUAUACUGAACCCCCUACUCAAGGCCUUUAAUUUCCAAAAAUCUGGCAAUUCUAACUCUUUUAUGUAGUUAGAAUUCACCAAUAAGUAGUUUGUAUGUAUUUAACUUGCUGGAAAAGAUAUUUUUAAAAUUUUACUUUGCCAUGGUAUUUUGACCCCCUCCCC